GAUGAACGCUGGCGGCGUGCCUAAUACAUGCAGGUCGAGCGAACAGACGAGGAGCUUGCUCCUCUGACGUUAGCGGCGGACGGGUGAGUAACACGUGGAUAACCUACCUAUAAGACUGGGAUAACUUCGGGAAACCGGAGCUAAUACCGGAUAAUAUAUUGAACCGCAUGGUUCAAUAGUGAAAGACGGUUUUGCUGUCACUUAUAGAUGGAUCCGCGCCGCAUUAGCUAGUUGGUAAGGUAACGGCUUACCAAGGCAACGAUGCGUAGCCGACCUGAGAGGGUGAUCGGCCACACUGGAACUGAGACACGGUCCAGACUCCUACGGGAGGCAGCAGUAGGGAAUCUUCCGCCAUGGGCGAAAGCUUGACGGAGCAACGCCGCGUGAGUGAUGAAGGUCUUCGGAUCGUAAAACUCUGUUAUUAGGGAAGAACAAAUGUGUAAGUAACUAUGCACGUCUUGACGGUACCUAAUCAGAAAGCCACGGCUAACUACGUG
rnacentral:rRNA from 1 species